UCCGUAGGUUGAUAAUUAAGUCAGAGGUGAAAUCCUGCCGCUCAACGGUAGAAUUGCCUUUGAUACUGGUUAUCUUGAGUUAUUAUGAAGUAGUUAGAAUAUGUAGUGUAGCGGUGAAAUGCAUAGAUAUUACAUAGAAUACCAAUUGCGAAGGCAGAUUACUAAUAAUAAACUGACACUGAUGGACGAAAGCGGUGGGGAGCGAACA
rnacentral:rRNA from 1 species